rnacentral:misc_RNA from 1 species
GAAAUGCGAUAAGUAAUGUGAAUUGCAGAAUUCAGUGAAUCAUCGAAUCUUUGAACGCACAUUGCGCUCGCCAGUAUUCUGGCGAGCAUGCCUGUUCGAGCGUCAUUUCAACCAUCAAGCUCUGCUUGCGUUGGGGAUCCGCGGCUGCACGCGGUCCCUCAAAAACAGUGGCGGGCUCGCUAGUCACACCGAGCGUAGUAACUCUACAUCGCUAUGGUCGUGCGGCGGGUUCUUGCCGUAAAACCCCCAAUUUCUAAGGUUGACCUCGGAUCAGGUAGGAAUACCCGCUGAACUUAAGC